AUGUAUUGAGACAACGUACAGAAGAUGUGGAUGUAAAGUGAUACUUUAUAUAAUACCUAGAAAAGGCACAUUCAUUUGAAUACACAAGGAAAGUGCAUUUUGCACUAGAAGAACAGGCAUUAGAGGAGAUAUCUAAGCUCGGUGGCAAUCCUGUCUUAUCUGCUGUGUUUGAACGCCUCAGAGCUGUGUAUGCCCACCAAUAGAUUGCCGAGAUAACAUGUUAAGCAAACGUAAUUAUUUUGAUGUGAUGAUAUAAAAUUUAAAAUAAUAAUAACAAAAACAAAU